rnacentral:misc_RNA from 1 species
UCCGAGUUGUCCCCGGCAGUCCCCUUAGAGUCCCCGGCAUUACCCGCUGGCAACUAAGGGCAGGGGUUGCGCUCGUUGCGGCACUUAAGCCAACACCUCACGGCACGAGCUGACGACAGCCAUGCAGCACCUGUGCUAGCCCCUUACGGACACGGGCUUUCACCCGCUUUAACUAGCAUGUCAAACCCAGGUAAGGUGGGGAUGACGUCGGAGAGUACGUCC